rnacentral:tRNA from 1 species
AUCCCUGUAGCUCAGUUGGUAGAGCAUGGUGUUUGCAAUAUCAGGGUUGUGGGUUCGAUUCCCACGGGGGGCC